AGCUCAACCAACGCCAUGGUAGCCAACAUGGCGAAUCCAGCGGUGCUCAGUAUGAAAUUUUCGGAUCUAUACUCUUGUUUUUCUAACUGAUCAUAAAAAUAAAAUUUCAAAAUCUAAUAUAAACAACAAUUUCUUGGAAAAGUCAUAAAAACAGUUUAAGUUAUGAGCAAGUUAGUAUCGUGUGACGUCGACUGUUUACUCGAAGAAGAAAUAGCAGAAGAAGAAGAAGAAGAAGAAGAAAAAGAAAAAGAAGGAAAAGAAGGAGGAAGAGGAAUAAGAUCGUCCUCGGCGCUUAUGUUCAUUGAAUCGUGGAGAACGCGAUAUACGCAGGAGUAGAAUCCCCCUCUGUGGUGCACCGGGCCCUUCGCAAUGACGGUUUCCCCAUUAUCCGCUCGCCCACUCGCUCACCAUUGCACCGGCCGGAAUACUCGGACGAUGACUAUUCACGGCAGGGGAAACAUACUGGAUCAACGAUAUCUGCGGAAAAAAUAGACAAUUAUACCAAAUAUGGAAAUCAGAUCAUUCCAAAUUCUCGGAGGGAUUUCAACGUUCCGAGGAAUCAUCAUAAGAGAAUAAAAAAAAAAAAAGUAAGGAAUACCGGACAUUUGAUAUCGAACUUGGUUGGCAUGCAAAGACAUUACAUAUUCUCGAGGAAACUUCAGUUUUCUUCUCGUUCGACAACUUUAAUUCUACCUUUCCGCCAUCCUUUCGACAAGCGAGAAGAUGGAGAUUUUGAAAGAAAAGGUAAAGAUGUCGAAGGUAGUAAAUAGUAAGUAAGUAGGAGAAACGAUGCAAAGGGACACGGAGGAAAAAGGAAAAAUACAUAUAGAAAUGUAUAGAAGGAGAUGGAAAGACAGAUAGAUAACUCGAA